rnacentral:lncRNA from 1 species
AUCUAUUCAAUAUACACUUGUCUCUCAAAUAAAAUUAUGUUAUAAUUAAGACUCCGUAUAAUUUCUCAAAAGGUAUAUGUACAUCAUAUUGUAUUUGACUGCCUUGUUCUGUACAGUGACAAAUAGAGUAUUUUAUUUUUCAUUUAUUUUUAUUUUAUGAUAUACAAAGCAUACACAACAUUUCUUAUUAACUGGUUUAUAUGCACACUAAAGAAUCAUGCAUGUGUUUUAAGAAUUGAUCUUUACGAAUAUUAAUAAAAAAA